UACGUAGGUGGCGAGCGUUGUCCGGAUUUACUGGGCGUAAAGGGCGCGUAGGCGGCCACCGCAAGUCGACUGUGAAAUCUCCGGGCUUAACCCGGAAAGGUCAGCCGAUACUGCGGGGCUAGAGUGCAGAAGGGGCAACUGGAAUUCUCGGUGUGGCGGUGAAAUGCGUAGAUAUCGAGAGGAACACCUGCGGCGAAGGCGGCUCACUGGCCCGAUACUGACGCUGAGGAGCGAAAGCGUGGGGAGCGAACAGG
rnacentral:rRNA from 1 species